UUCAAGUGUGUGCAAGUGUUUCCACUAAAGACAGAGUGAAAGAAAAUUCAGAAGAAUGAAAGAUGUGAGGUUCUGUUUGUAGAGCACUUGCUUUAUCCCGGAUGCCCACAGUUCACUCAAAGACAAAACUUGAGAAACCACAUCAACUGCGGCAGUCGAAUGCAAAUUUCCUGUAAACAGGCGAGCAGACAGAUUGGUUGCAUGGUGCAUGCCAAACAUCACCAAGGUCACAGAGAAAGCGUUUACGCCCAUCUCCAAACAGAGGUGUGCAGAAGACAGGCCGACCAUAGAAAGAGAGCGAGGCGAGAGAGGAGGGCUGCUGCUUUAAAUGGAUAAAUGUCUCCUCUUGCCCAGCUUUCCCGAUAAUCAAUCCCAUGAAUGACAAUGGGCCCGGUGCACUUACUGCAUCACUAAUGUGACAGCAGCAGUGACGAAUACGAUACGGACGGUAUUGGGUUUCAUCUCUCGGAGGGGGAAGAGUGACGUGUCGGUCAAUCUGACAGCCAAAGUGCUCGCUCUAGAAGCUAAAUACUCCUUAAAGGAGCAGAGCAGAGGCCUGCCACCGCUGUUGAGUGGCUGUGGUCUUUCAUACCCAACACUAUCAGGGUGGGCAAAGGGCCUGGCGUCGCUAUCGAGACUAGAGGUCGGCCGAUUAAUUACAGUCGAUUUCAAGUUUUCAUAACAACAGGUAAUCAGCCUUUAGGACAUUGCAAUCCACGAGGAGACUGUAUGGCAGGCUGACCACCUGUUAUGCGAGUGCAGUCAGCAAGGAGCCAUGGACCUGAGCCCUAGGACCAUGCGUCAGGACUGCCUGGCAUGAUGACUCCUUGCUGUCCCCAGUCCACCUGGCCUUGCUGCUGUUCCAGUUUCAACUGUUCUGCUUGCGGCUAUGGAACCCUAAACUGUUCAUUUUUACUCUUGAGGUGCUGUCCUGUUGCACCCUCUACAACCACUAAUCUCCACCCGGCACAGCCAGAAGAGGACUGGCAACCCCUGCAUUGCUUGCUGUUUGGGGUUUUAGGCUGGGGCUAUAUAAAUUGAUUUGAUAGAGAACGGAGGGUCUUCCAAAUAUUGAAAGUUUUCCCUUUUUUCUUUUCAUUUUUUCCCCUAAAUCUUUUGGGGGGUGUGUGUUAGAGAACCAUUUUGGUAUUUUGUAUAUAGUUAUUUGUUUCAAAAUGUAUACCUUCACCAAUUUGGCCACAUUUGGGCUACUUGUGUGGGACACCUGGGUGACUUCAUGAUAAAUGUCAUGUAGCACACUCAUUUUGGAAGUUAUCAUUCUGAAACUUUGCACAAGUACUGUUGCCCUCAUUUUUCACUGAUAUUGUCCCCAUCAUCCUAUCUGAAUGUUUGUUUUAUCUUGUUCAUCUUAAAGAUGACGAUACAAAAAUAAAAUAAAACGUAUGGUU